rnacentral:rRNA from 1 species
GAUGAACGCUGGCGGCGUGCCUAAUACAUGCAAGUCGAGCGAACAGAUGAGGAGCUUGCUCCUCUGACGUUAUCGGCGGACGGGUGAGUAACACGUGGAUAACCUACCUAUAAGACUGGGAUAACUUCGGGAAACCGGAGCUAAUACCGGAUAAUAUAUUGAACCGCAUGGUUCAAUAGUUAAAGACGGUUUUGCUGUCACUUAUAGAUUGAUCCGCGCCGCAUUAGCUAGUUGGUAAGGUAACGGCUUACCAAGGCAACGAUGCGUAGCCGACCUGAGAGGGUGAUCGGACACACUGGAACUGAGACACGGUCCAGACUCCGACGGGAGGCAGCAGUAGGGAAUCUUCCGCAAUGGGCGAAAGCCUGACGGAGCAAAGCCGCGUGAGUGAUGAAGGUCUUCGGAUCGUAAAACUCUGUUAUUAGGGAAGAACAAAUGUGUAAGUAACUAUGCACGUCUUGACGGUACCUAAUCAGAAAGCCACGGCUAACUACGUG